GUGGGGAAUCUUGCGCAAUGGGCGAAAGCCUGACGCAGCCAUGCCGCGUGAAUGAUGAAGGUCUUAGGAUUGUAAAAUUCUUUCACCGGGGACGAUAAUGACGGUACCCGGAGAAGAAGCUCCGGCUAACUUCGUGCCAGCAGCCGCGGUAAUACGAAGGGGGCUAGCGUUGCUCGGACUUACUGGGCGUACAGGGCGCGUAGGCGGACAGCUUAGUCAGAGGUGAAAGCCCAGGGCUCAACCUUGGAAUUGCCUUUGAUACUGGCUGUCUUGAGUUUGGGAGAGGUGAGUGGAACUCCGAGUGUAGAGGUGAAAUUCGUAGAUAUUCGGAAGAACACCAGUGGCGAAGGCGACUCACUGGCCCAAUACUGACGCUGAGGCGCGAAAGCGUGGGGAGCAAACAGGAUUAGAUACCCGUGUAGUCC
rnacentral:rRNA from 1 species